rnacentral:rRNA from 1 species
UGGGGAAUCAUGGUCAAUGGGCGAAAGCCUGAACCUGCGACGCCGCGUGAGUGAUGAAGGUCGUAAGAUCGUAAAACUCUUUUCAGGGAUCUUAAAGCCUGUCUGUCAACAACAGGCAGGUCUGACUCUCCCUGGAAGAAGCCCCAGCCAACUACGAGCCAGCAGCUGCGGUCAUACGUAGGGGGCGAGCGUUAUUCGGAAUUACUGGGUGUAAAGGGUAUGUAGGCGGCCCUUCAAGUCGCGUGUCAAAGUCCAGUGCUCAACGCUGGUUGUGCACGCGAUACUGACGGGCUUGAGGGCUGGAGAGGUGAGCGGAAUUCCCGGUGUAGUGGUAAAAUACGUAGAGAUCGGGAGGAACACCAGCGGCGCAGGCGGCUCACUAGACAGUUUCUGACGCUAAGAUACGAAAGCGUGGGGACCAAACA